GAUGAACGCUAGCGGCAGGCCUAAUACAUGCAAGUCGGACGGGAUUCGGGAGCUUAGGCUUCCGAUGAGAGUGGCGCACGGGUGCGUAACACGUAUGUAACCUACCUUAUCCGAGGGGGAUAGCCUCUCGAAAGAGAGAUUAAGACCGCAUAACAUUAUGGAAGCAGCAUUGCGAUGUAAUCAAAUAUUUAUAGGGAUAAGAUGGGCAGUGCGGGACANAGCUAGUUGGUGCGGGUAACGCCACAAGGCGACGAUGUCUAGGGGAUCUGAGAGGAU
rnacentral:rRNA from 1 species